ACGGCGAGUGAAGCGGCAAAAGCUCAAAUUUGAAAUCUAGCACCUUCGGUGUUYGAGUUGUAAUUUGAAGAUGGUAACCUUGGGUUUGGCUCUUGUCUAUGUUCCUUGGAACAGGACGUCAUAGAGGGUGAGAAUCCCGUCUGAUGAGAUGCCCAUUCCUAUGUAAGGUGCUAUCGAAGAGUCGAGUUGUUUGGGAAUGCAGCUCUAAGUGGGUGGUAAAUUCCAUCUAAAGCUAAAUAUUGGCGAGAGACCGAUAGCGAACAAGUACAGUGAUGGAAAGAUGAAAAGAACUUUGAAAAGAGAGUGAAAAAGUACGUGAAAUUGUUGAAAGGGAAGGGCAUUAGAUCAGACUUGGUGUUUUACGAUUAUCUUCUCUUCUUGAGUUGUGCACUCGUAUUUCACUGGGCCAGCAUCGAUUCGGAUGGCAAGAUAAUGGCAGUUGAAUGUGGCUUCACUUCGGUGGAGUGUUAUAGCUUCUGCUGAUAUUGCCUGUCUGGAUCGAGGGCUGCGUCUUUUGACUAGGAUGCUGGCGUAAUGAUCUAAUGCCGCCCGUCUUGAAACACG
rnacentral:rRNA from 1 species